rnacentral:lncRNA from 1 species
CAGAAACUUCAGCUAACUACCCUUACACCUCUCCACCACCACCGGCCUCUCCUCCCUACCAUUACAAGUCACCACCGCCUCCUUCUCCUUCUCCUCCAGUGCACUACUCACCACCUAAGCAUCCCUACCACCCUAAGUCACCACCACCUCCUGUGUACGCACCACCUAAGCAUCCCUACCACCCUAAGUCACCACCACCUCCUGUGUACCCACCACCUAAGCAUCCCUACCACCCCAAGUCACCACCACCAUCACCAAAGCCUUACCACUACAAAUCCCCACCACCACCUCCUGCUCCAGUGCACUCACCACCCCCACCUAAGGAGCCAUACCACUACAAGUCCCCACCACCACCACCCAAGAAGCCCUACCACUACAAAUCUCCCCCACCACCUCCUCCUCCAGUUCACUCACCACCACCACCCAAGGAGCCUUACCACUACAAAUCUCCACCACCACCACCCAAGAAACCUUACUAUUACAAGUCUCCUCCACCACCACCAAAGAAGCCUUACCACUACAUGUCUCCUCCCCCACCGGUGUACUCACCACCUCCACCAGUGCACUCACACCCACCACCAAAAAAGCCUUACCAUUACAAAUCUCCUCCCCCGCCAGAAUAUUCACCAGCUCCACCAGUGCACUCAACCCCACCACCAAAGAAGCCCUACCAUUACAAAUCCCCACCACCACCACCACCACACAAGAAGCCUUAUUACCCUGUUCACUCACCACCUCCACCUAAGAAGCCUUACCACUACAAAUCCCCACCACCACCUUCUCCUACUCCUCCUAAAUACUCACCACCUAAGCACCCCUACCACUACAAGUCUCCACCACCACCACCAAAGAAGCCUUACCAUUACAAGUCCCCACCACCUCCUUCUCCUACUCCCCCUAAAUACUCACCACCUAAGCACCCCUACCACUACAAGUCACCACCACCACCACCCCAAGAAGCCUUACCACUACAAGUCUCCACCACCACCACCUCCUCCAGUUCCCACACCAUCUCCACCCAAGAAACCUUACCACUACAAGUCUCCCCCACCACCCCCUCCAGUCUACAAGUCUCCUCCACCACCAGUUUACUCACCACCACCACCACCUAAGAAACCUUACAAGCCACCAACUCCUCCAGCAGUUCACCCACCACACGGUUACAUCUAUUCCUCACCCCCACCUCCUCACCACUACUAGAUAUUGAAAGUUUAAUUGCAUCAAGCUGGUAAGCUUCUCCAUUCUAUGCUAUUAUUCAUUAAUUAGUUAGUACUACUGUUGUCAAUUUGGAAAUCACCAUACAACCAAAUGCACACUCUGACGAAAUAACAUAUAAAUUCUAAUUGAAUAGUCUUUAUUUCCAUUUUUGGCUAAUAAUCCUUAUUAGCAUAUGGAUAAUGUAUUUCCAACAUAUCGUUAUUAACUUAUUACUCAAUUAAUAUUUCUUUUUCUUUAAAUUCAGUAGCCGUGUGUAACAAAUAGACCAAUGGCAGAGACCCAACAAAUAACAAUAAUAUGUCUUUGCAGGUAAGGGAAGAAGAAAGGUCAGAAUAAAGAGGGGCUGUUGAAGUCGAACAGCGCGCCUUAUUACCACACAAAGAAGAAGAGAGAGAAAAAAACGAGUCUCCACGCAGCUGCUGAUGUGACGUGUUUUAUGUAUGCGAUAUUCGAUAGAGGUUCAUAUUUUCCUUGGAAUAUUAGACAGUUGUAGGGCACUCAUGUUCCAUGUAUUUUAUUUCCUGUUUCUCAAAAGAGAUGGUAUAUGUAUGUUGUUUGUUUCAACCUUCUAAUGGAGAGGUGAUCAUCAUAAUAAUAAAAUAAAUACAUUCCCCAAAUUUUACUUAAUUUCUCAUAUAUCUGAUAUGUUUUACUCUCUUAAUUAAAGUUUCCUAAUAAUGUUAUAAAAACCACGUAUAUCACAUUGGUGUACCAUUUAUUCUCACAAGUAAUGUCACGUCAAUUAAUGAGUUUAUCUCAUUGAAUAGUAAUUGACUUGCUUACAUUAUAUGGUAAUAAUGUGGUGUAAAUAUGUCGCAUCGUCCUUAACAUCACUCUAAAUUUCUUGGUAAUAAUAUAUGCGAGCAGUGUUAACAAAUCAAAGGAUGAGAAAGAAGAAAAACUAUUUGCAAAUUCUUAUUCUUAAUAUUUCAUAAACACAAAAUAAAGAAGACUAUGAAUUGUUCAAAUGCAUACUAAGUGAUCUAUUUUGGCAAAUCAUCUUAGUAUUGUAUUAUUUUCUUCAAUUAAGUGAUCUAUUUUUUUUCAAUUUGUUUUCCAUAUUUCAUGGCUUAAAUUUGUGAUUACUUUUUCAACAUAAAUGUCAAAUACUUUUUCUAAAAGUUAAUGUUGUCUAUUAUUUAUCCGUUGCUGGGAAAAAAAGUUAAAGUGGUAAUCUUAUUGAUAAAACUUAGUUCACUACACUAUAUAUACAAUUGUCUUCCGGUAGACCAUCAUGGAUAAAAAAUCAAAAGGAUUAUCGAAACCCCAAAAAAUUCUCACUAGUAGAAAGAUUGUUCAAAUUCUACAAUGAACCACAAGAAGUCUAACUCACUUGGUCAUUGCUGAUUGACUAUCAUUACUAGGUUAAAGCAACAUUUUAAGUUUUAACCUAAAUAGGAUCUCAACAAGCUAGGGUUUGAGAUUAGUGUUUUAGGUGACGACAGAGCUCUUUCCUUUCUUUAUGUUAUCCAAACUCUUUUUCUUUUUUCAUUUUUAUCAAGAAACUGUAGGUCUCAAUCAAAUUUAUGGAUUAUGGAUUUUAGUUAUGUAUUCUUAGUGUGGAAAUUUGACUAUAAAAUACGUUGACACUUGUCCUUUAAACUAAUGCAACCGAACAAACUUGUAGUUAACAAUUUUAUUAAGAGAGAUUAUAUUCACACACUUCAAAUUACUUAUGUCACACCUUUCUAAUUUUUUAAUAUUUUCUACACACCACUAACACUUGAAAGAAAAAAUAUUAAAAAAAUUAAAAGAGUGUGGGGCAAGUAAUUUGGGGUGUGUGAAUAUAAUCUCUCUUUCAUUAAAUCAUAACAUGGUGGAGUGAGUAAGUGAUGAGGAAAGACAAUUACGUCGCUCAUAUGCAAAUGAGUGGACAAACCUUCCAAUGGAUGCAACGGUGGUCAUGAAUUAUGAUUGUGUGUAGGGUUUCGAGUUACCGACGUUGACUGUCAUGCAAAUUGAGUACGUAGCCACUUACACUUAAUGGCAGAGGUCGAUGAUUUGCGCUACGGAAAAUGGUUUGAUUUGCUUAUACCAAUUACCAAACAAAGCAAAUAUAUUCGUCCUUUUGGUUUGGUUGUCAACUGUCAAGUAUGCGUUAGAAUUUUUUAAUUUGGGUUAAAUAAAAUAAAAAAACAAUACUCAAAACUUUUUGGGGAUGAGAUCUGAGAAAUUUAAUUUUUUCCCUUCAUAUAUUAGGGAUGAAAGUUGACUUAAUCACACACAAUGGAUCAUACCAACAAUAAUUUAGUAUCGAAUUCAUCAUUCAUGAAAAUCAUAUUUGAGCCUAAAUAAAAAUAAGCAUGUUAUGGGGUCAAUCUACUUUUAUUUACAGAAAGUUGCACGACUCAGGCCCACCAACUUCAAAGCCUAAUUCAAGAUCAUAUCACAAAGCUUGGGCGACCUUUUUGUCCCCCUCCUAGCUAUUCGAGGGCUUGGGUAGAUCUCUCUAUGAAGUGCGUCCACCACGCAGAUGACCAGACCCGGGAAUAUCUCGCCUCCUUAAAUGUUGAUGUACGCAUCAUCUAACAUGCUAAUGUCACCAUUGCAAUUAUGAAAACGGCCAUGAAAUACAGUUUAAGGCCACCAACCAGAAAUUAUAGUCAAUGUCAACUCACCGAUCUACCCAUGCUCCAUCUUAGCCAUGAGAUCGAGGUUGCUCUUGCUUCAUUGCCUAUAAAUAGAGUGGGAAACCUUCAAACUUAGGACCUUCGUCUGAUCCAAUCUCUACAAUUAUAUAAAACCUCGAUUGAUUCUUCAAUCAACCCAACUUCUUUCAAAGUACAAUCCAAUUGCUCUUCAACUACAAUCACAAAGCCUUCGUUAAAAGCAAACAUUGCCUAUGUCCCUGAGAUCUUAAACUUUUACAGCUUUUCCAACCCGUGGUAUGAUUCGGUUGAUGUGUCAAUCCAACCACCCUGAUUUCCUCUUAGAGGCACAUGUUUUGGACUAAGUCCAAUUUGAUACCAGAGACCUCAGUGGACUCCUCUAGCAUUAUCUAUCCCUUCAUGGCCUAAAUCUUGUAAGAGUUUUUACAGCUUUCUUUACAAUUUUACUCAAUUUUCAUUUCAAGUCAUGUAGCUCGGCCCAUCGGCCAAGAUUUUACUUUUAUAUAAUGCUUGUAAUGUUGACUUCAUUAUGAAAUAAUUACAUUUUGUUCAUCACAUUAUUUUCCAUUUUCCUUUUUCAUGUUUUAGGCAAAAACACAAAAAAGUUACAUUGAAUUUUAAGUCCUCAUUCACUCAAGGCAUAGAAAAAAACUUAAACGAACUAGCGUCUCAUUCAAUGCACAACAAUUGGUUAAGAAGUCAGAUCUUUGCGCAACUUUCACACACAUCCAAAUACAAAGAUUGUCUGUUGACAGCCUCCAACAAUAGCACACCCAUUCUCUCAUUUUCUCGAGCCACCUCGUGACAUUGAUAUAAAAAAUAACACUCGGGGAAAAUAAAAGUUACAGUAGUAGUGAAAGAAAUUUAGUUGUUGUAAUAACUGAAUUUUGAAGGGCAUAUUAAGUAAUAAAAAUUAUGAGCAGAUAGUAUUUGCCCCAUUUGGCCUAGUGUCGACCAAAAAUGUACCUUCACCUAGAAAAGGAUUGUAGAAAGUGAAGUUAGUUCAAUAAUUGUCCUCUUUUUUGUUUUCUUUUUCGAUAUUUUAAGUGCUAUAUUGAGACUUUGGGGGCUUUUUUUUCCCAAAGCUCUGGCCUAUUCCGCGAAGAACUGAGAUUGAAUGGAGACUUUAUCAUUCUCACUAAUAUUAUAAGAAAAAUUGCACAAUACCAUUGUAUUAUUAAUUUGAGACAAUGGUAUUAAUUAUAGACAUUACAAUAGUGUCAAGAAUAAUGCAAAUAACUCAUUCUCCUUUGUUUAUUAGGUCGAAUUUCACUAGCUACAAAUAAGUUUAGCGGGGUGUAAGGAUGGAGACUUUAUCAUUCUCACUUAUAAAUCAUCAUAUAUUUAGGUGUGGGGUAAGGGGUUGGGGUAGAUUAGGUCCCAGGUUCGAGGCCUGGUGGGGUGGGGUGGGGUUGAAAAAAAAAAUCAUAUAUUUAGGUGUGGGUUUGGAAGGUAGACUUGAUUCCGCGGUGUUUUGAGGAGGAGGAGGGCAAUCUUAUUCUUGGUUUACCAAUAAGUUUAGCAGGGUGUAAGGAUAGAGUCAUAUGGCACUAUUCAAGAAAAGUUGCAAAACCACUAAAACUUUAUUUUAAGAGUCAAAUCUACUAAAUUCUUCUCCAAGAGACUUGAUAAAGGACUCUAUAUAAUAGCAAGUUGCUCUUUAAAUUUAUAAGUAAUGCCUAAUGGGGCUUUUAAGAAAAUAUUAAUAUUUAAAAAAAAAGUAUUAAUUUUUGUUUUAGACAUUGUAUAAGGAAAAUGAUAAGCAUACAUCCUUUUUAGCCUCGAUCAACACUUAUAUUUAAUCUUGUUCAUUAUUUUUGUUUGAUUUAUACAAUGCGAUGGUCAAAAAAAUAAAUAAAAAAUAUGUUUGAGAAGUUAAAAAUGAUGUGUGAAAAUCACCUGCCAAUAAACAAAUCUAUUAUUAAAACUAAUACAAACUUUAAAACUAAAACUCAUGAUCAAUUAAGAAACGCUCAAGUCAAAUUCAUAAUAGCCAUAAAACAUAAAACACCUAAAUUUACUAUGCCAAUUCAAUCAACAAUCGUAUUAUAAAUAUGUUAAAUCCUUACAUGAAUGGAAUUGUUAGCCCAUCAAUCCAAGUAAUUGAAUGAUCUUUGGAGAUUUACUUAAGAGCAGUAUUAAUAUGAAUUAUGAACUUAUGAGAGAGAAAUAAUCUAUUAUUCUUUUCUCUAUUAGGCUAUAUUAUAUUUAUUUUGUUAUUGAAGAAAUUAUAUAUUGUAUAAUAUUUCCAUGGGGUGCAAAAACAUCGGGGCGCCUUUUUUUAGUUGGGGACCUUGUGCAAUGUCUUAUAUUCCUCCCCUUCAAUCCGGCACUGACAGGAAGGGAGAGAACGAUUUAAAAAAUGAACGGGUUGAAUUUGAAUUGAUAAUAAUUAGUAAAUUAUUUAAACUUUGUUAAAUAGAAAAUAUUGUUGAAAAUGAAAAGUUAAACUGAGUAAUUAAAAUAGUUUUUUUGACACUUUUCACUUGCUUGUUUAACAAAAAUUUAGAGCUUGUCUUUGAGAUACUCUUACUCCUUUAUUUAAAGGACUCGGCUUUUCUAUUAUAGCUGUCGUAUUCAAUAUUGUUGCAAUUAAUGAACUUAAAUCAUUUCGUUAUGACCAAAUUAAGAUAAUCAUGGACAUGUAGAUUAGGUAGCUAAUUCUGAUUUUGACUCGAUCACAUCAAGGUUAUCGUAAUUAAUGUCGGUUAAUUUAAUAUGCGUCUCUGAUCUGAUUACAUUACCAUGGUACGUAAACAUGUGUAUCCAUCUGCAAGACUCAAGAUUUAUAAUUUUGUUUUGUUUACUGUUUUUACGAAGAUAUUUAUGAUUUGAUUUUAUAAUAAAUUUUUUUUUAAAAAAAAAAUCAGAGCAAAACUGCAUCAUGGCCAACAAUCCAGCCAGAUUCAGUUCAACUAUAAUUUUGGCCAAUUUUUCAAAGCUGAUGGAUGUUAGUAGAUUUGUGUGGGGAACACUGAAAAGGCUAGAUUAUGAAAUACCAGAAAAGUAUUGACAUUUCAAUUGCUUAAACCAACCAUGAUGAAGAGUUCUAUGAAUUAUUUUUCAAAAUUUGAUUAAAUUGUGUCAUCCAGAUUAACGAACAUUGUUUCAUUGAAAUUAGUUCAUCAAGAUUGCGUAACUGGGAUAGCUUUCACACUGUAUUAACAUACAAAGAGGCUCUACUUCGUUAGAGUGUUCAAACUGUACACGUAAUUUGACUGCCGUACACAUUUUUCUUAUAUCUCUCCAAUCAACUUUAUUUUUCCUUUUGAAUAAAUUAAAGAUAAAGAAAGAAAACCAUUUUGCCUUAAAUGGCAAGAGAUUGAUGAAAAUCUACUCUAAAGAAGGGACAGGAUAUAUAUAAAUUAAAAUUCAUCAUGUACAAAGUAAGCGUAGGACAUUUUCAUCAUUUUACUUUGUCGUGCCCAUAAUUCUUUGCUCUAUAUAUUUUAUCUUUGUUGGUGGUCGAUGCUUUGGUUGGCUGUCAAUUGCGACGGACUGUCGUAAAAAUUGUCGGCAACCAACCAUGUGUUCUUGCAUGCCCGAUGUUCUCGCCACCUCACGUGGAAAUUUCCAAUGGAAUGGAGGGCCAAAUUUCAGUUUUUAUAUCAAUUUGUUUAUGUUAAAAUUUUCUUGUAAUAUAAGUCAAUGGUUGAAUUUGCAGUAGAAACAAACAAAAUAUGUGGACGAAUUUGAUAAAGUACAAGAAAAAAAAAACUGCAACUUAAGUAGAUGACGUGAUUCUUCACCCGGACAACAAGGAAGAAGACAUGAAAUCGGGAACACUGGAUGACGAAGUACACAAAUUAAACUUAUCUAAUCCAUUUUAAUAAAUUGUUACAGGGUGGCCAGUGGUCGGGAAUAAAUCACAGACUCGCAUUUCAGAUACCUCACGAACUUGAUUUUUGUUACUAACAAAUCACAUGAAGGUGACCAAGAGAAGGUUGAAAUGUCAUUGUGAGACGUCUUUCUUACCCUCGAAAGAUGAACUACCGUAAUGAAGCCACCAACUCAUCUUUUUAAAGGAAAGAAAAUCUAAGCCGUCCUAAUACAUGUUGUCACUCAUGGGAAUUAGAGAAGAAAUAUUCGUUAGCCACUUACAGUUGGAUGCUUAUUAUAUUAACUAGUUACAAAGUCAAAGGUUUUUCAUUGAAUGGAAUCAUAAGAUGUAAACAUCUAGGAUUAAUAUUUGGAAAAUAAUUAAACUCAAUCCCACCGCGUAGUUCUGUAACAAGUUUAUAUGUCUAAUAGAGUUUAUAGAUCUAAUAGUUAGUUAAGAGUAUUCAUUCUUACUCUUGAAGUUUUUUUGUUGACACUCUCUCUUUUAACCAUUUCUUGUAAUCAUUACAAGAAUUUGGAUUCUUUUAAUCCUAGGAGUGCAAUACUAAUUCUUAAUCUUUGUGUUAACCAUAAUAUCAUGACACAUAUCACCAAGUAUGAUCAGCAACUAGGAGAACGAGAGAAGAUGCGUGACUUAAGAAAAUUGAUGUGAUUUUGGAUUUUUUUUUACUUUAUGCACGCCCGCUCUUUAAAAAAAAAGAAAAAAGAUAUGUGAAAGGUGAAAAACAGUUGUUUCCGACAAACAUAAUUCACUUUCUAUAUGUGUACUUUGUAUUUUUUUUCAUCAAGUAAGGAAAUGGUGAAAAGAAAAAUGUACAUUAAUCGUAUCAUAUGAUAUAUUGUUCUUCUCAAGACAACUAAGAAGCUAAACUUAAUGUCAGAGAUUAAGACGUUUUGUUGGCUUGUCAUUCAAGGAAAGCUUAAUACAUAUAAUAUAGAGUUGGGAAGGUUAAUUUGUCCGUAUCUUGUGUAAAACAUGAUCUGGAUUUCAAACCCCCUAGACUUUUUGUUGUCCUACUCACGCAGCCCAUUCCCAAGUUCCAACCCUCCCAACAACCCUAUCCAGGAAGGCCAGCGCAGAUGUUAAGGCUGUGACCAGGGUUGUAAUACCAUCUCCAAUGGAUAAGUCAAAUCAUAAGUGGAAUGUCGCAUAAUUAAAUUUAAAAGUAAAAAAGAAGUUCCAACCGAUAGUUUUUCCGGAUCCUGAAAGAGUGGAUAACCGUGACUUAUCACCACUUGUCUUAUUUUUCGAAGAAAAAAAAAUGUCAAUCCUAUGUGAAUUAACAUGAGUUUUUGGUAUCAAAAUUGACAUGAAAAAUGUGUUGGCAAUUAAUUCUUUAGUGAUUUUAUUGUGCGGGUUUUAUUAAUGGACCAAUUCUAAAGCUUAAAAAUUAUUUUAAUUGAUUUCUUUUUCAUAAUGAACCUACGGAUAUUAAUUAUAAAUUUGACAUUACCACAUCAAUCGUUAAAAUUAACAUUUGACAUUCAUUUUUUGACUUUUCCAUUGAAGAUGUUCCAAUUAGCUUCAAAUGCCUUCGAGUUGAACUCAUGUUUGGGUCGUUUUAGGCAUGUUCAAUCUCUACUUGCAAGUAAAAGGAGUCGGGCACGAACAUAAUAUUCAGUUCGAUACAAAGAUGAGAUAGAAUUUUAGUAUGAUCAAAAGCUCGUAAAACUCUUAACAUCCCAUAUCAUUUUAUAUUGGACAUGCAAUCAUUUGAAAGUAUAGAGCUAUGCUUAAGCACAAAUUAUAUCAUUUGAACCAAGCACCUGGUACUUGGCGCGACUCAUCAACGCAGCUCUUGCAUUUUGUCCUUUGAUUUCUUCAAUAUAAAACCAUAAAUAAAUAGAAAUGUGCAAGAUAAGACGAGUCUGAUAAGAUUUCAAUAGAAGUGUUCCAUACGAACACUGUGCCAAGCACUUUUCAGCUGUUGGAUCGACGGAAUUUUACCACUGCUAGGCUAACAAUAUAAUUUCCGUUCGAUCUCUUUCAUAAACGAAACACUAAAACAUGAAUCGAUUUAUCAAUCACCCGAUUAACAUACUCCAAGAAACAGGAAAACAAUCAGUCACAAAUUACUCGCAAAUCGCAAUUAAAACGAAAGAAAUUGAGAAAUCCGGACUAGGCUACAAGCACGUCAAGUCAAGAUCGGCAAAACAUUUAAUAAAACACCAAAUCUGUCAUAUUUUCUGACCUUCCAAAUAUUCAAGUCCAUAACAGAAUGAACAAGCUGAAAACAGCAGAUGAAAUAUGCACAAAGGGAUACACCAAACGUACCUCCAUCGCGAGAAAGAUACACUGCGUUUUGUGAUCGCAUCUACACCAAGCGCUUCGUCCGACAAAACCAUCACUACACAUAUAGGUAUAGAAAAUAUCUAGCAUAGCGUCUUCAUCUCAUUUCUCAAACAGACAAUAUUAUACAAUGACAUUCAACUGGGUGUUUGCUUCGAUGAGUUCUACAACAGACAGGAAAUCAGAUCAUCAAGCACUAAUCACUAAUGACAUCGUCUCUUGAGCAAUCUCUCUAAUUUUCUCUUUCCUUGAGUGUACAGUAUAACCUCUAUAUUCAUAUGAGAAACAAACGAAAAAAACAAAGCCUCAUCCAUAUCCCAAACACCUAAAAAUGAGCCGGUCAGAAUGUUGCAAAAAGAGAAGUUUCGGGUAUUUCAGAAAUUUUCUGAGUCGUGUCAUAACUCUCAAGUGCCAUUGGAGGGUUCUGAAAUUUCCUGAGAUUUCAUGCAUUUAGUUCAGUGUGGGGCUGAGAGCCUGAUAGAACAAGGGAGAACCAAACAUCAAGAAAGACGAGAGAGAGUGUCCUACCUGGACUUCUUGGAGGAGAGAUUCAAGUUGAGCUGUUAUAUCGGAGAAGGAAGGCCGAUUGGAAGGAACUGAAUCCCAGCAACUCUGCAUUAAUUCCAAAACCUUGGGGUGUCCAUUAUUCGGAAUUUCCGGUCUCAGCCCCUGGGAAAUAGAAUGUCAAACAAAACAUAACUAUUUAGGCACAAAAGAAUUUGGAUAAAAUACUACGCUGAGUGAACAGCCAAACCAGUUGGUAUGUACCAUUGUACAUGAUUUCAGAGGCAUAAUUUAUACUUAUUUAUAUUAUAAGCAACAAAAAUGUCAUCAGAAGAUACAGAAAUUUGUUAUUCACUAAGUUUUACCCUUUUCUUGCGUUUAUAAAAUAUAUGCCUGCUUUGUAACAGCUUUUUUUAGUUUGAAUGGGAGGAUAUUCAGACCACAGGGUUACAAACAUAAACUCAGGCACGUCAUCAAUUCAAACUUUAAUUCGACAUGUAGAAUUGUCAACAUCUGUAAGAUACACACAUGGCAGGCAACAGGACGAAACACCAUAGAGGAAAAUUUAUAAUCAAGUUGCAUGAACUGUGGAUUAACAGGAUUUCUUAAGCAGCAAAUACAAUGCGGGCUAUAGAAAACACGUCUUCAUUCAUCAAUAUUCAAUACACAGACGAACAGAUAUAAAUAAUACAUAUGUAUUAUAAAUGGAUAUACGAAUAAACAAUAAACCUGUCUAACUCCCAAGGCAGCUUGCAAUGGAGUCAUGGUAUCAUAUGGAACCUGCAAUACAAAAUCAUACGAGUUUGAAAAUAAAUAAAUAAAAAAAUCUUAAGAAGUUUGAUAAUGUCCACAUCCAAAAUUCCCAAUACACAGAGGAAGCAUACUUUGGCUGUUACUAGCUCCCAAAGUACAAUUGCGAAACUGAACACAUCUGCUUUCUGAUCAUAUGGUUGAUGGUUGAUAACCUUGCAAAAUACAAGAAACCAAUAAGAUAUUGAAAUAAGAAUGUAAAUCAAUGUCGUCAAACUACGGUGCAUCUGCUAUGGUAAUGACGCAGUAACAAAACCAGAAUGUUGACAUCCAAAAUGCAAUUAACAAAACAGGAAAUUCAAUGAACCAUAGCCUGCUUGCCAAAACAAAGGGAUAUUGAUAAUUGUUUAUGAUAAACUAAUCAAUCCAUAGAUCACAACAAAGGACCAAUUUGUGAACCAAGUCCAACGGUUUAAGAGUUGACAAUAAUUUUCACGAAGAGACAAAGCAGGAAAAAAAAAGCAGAGGAAAAUAUUGAACCAGAAGAAUCGGACCUCAGGUGCCAUCCAUCGAUAGGUUCCAGUCUCUGCUGUCAUUACUCCCUCUUGAUUCUGAAACCGAGCAACACCAAAAUCUGCCACCUUUACAACCUGAAGGCAAACAAGAAAAUGAUUUUCAACUGUAAAAGAAAAGAAAAACCUAUUUGUUUUUCCUAAACAGAAAAAUAGAAUAGCCAGGAUGUGAGAGGAGAUUUCAACCAUUUAUACUUGGAAAUCUAACCAGGAAACAGUUUACCCAUUAUCAUAAACAAAUAAUGCUGUGUUUAGCUUUGAACUUUACUUAUAGUUAUUAAAAAAUAUAAAUAUACUUGUCGAAAGUAGAAUUGCAUUACCCCACAUCUUUAAACACAAAUCUAACUUCAUCAUUCAUGACAUCCUGAAAGUAUCAAAUUCACCAUCGACAAAAACUCAGAAGACAUCAAUUCCAGUAUGUCCAUGAGAAUUUUGGUCGAAUUGAACUUUUGACAUGCAGAUAUACUUCUCCCAUAAUCAAACUUCAUACCUCAAAGCACAACGCACAAUUACCCCAUACAAAACAAUAGACGGUUUGGUUACUCAAGUCCAAUAACUACAACUUAUAUCAACUAAAGCAGCAAUAGAUCCACUGAAGACAUUAGCCCUUUUAAAAAAAUUACAAACAAAUCUAUUGAACUUUAUCGUUUUCCUGUCGCCUAAGUUAAGCUGUAUAUGUACAAUGACAAAUUAAAUCAAUAGAGUUAUCAUGAAUAUGCGUAGGUUACAUUUUGCAGAAAGUGAAGCUGCCAAACAAGCAAACAAUAACCUUUAAUUCUUACAUUGUUAGUGUCCAUUAGCAGAUUUGCCGUCUUUAGAUCCCUAUGAAUUAUGUUAUUAUGAUGCAAAUACUCCAUUCCUUUACAGACAUCAAUUGCAAACUUUAGCAGUUCUGAAAGCUUCAAGAUGUUAUGAUUCUUAUGCAAAUAAUCGUAAAGACUUCCACCGGGCAUAUACUCUGCAAAAAAUAAAAAACAAAUGAAUUUUCAUAAUUAUGGUAAUAGUACAAUACAGCAACAAGUCGGCACUGGACUAAUUAUACUCAUCUCAAACUACAAACAGAUCUAAACAGUAAAGUUUUACAUAAAGAAAUCAAGAUGAAAUCAACAAUAAAGCUCUAACCAUAAAAAGAUACCCUGCCAAAUACUAUCCCAAAAUUCUCAAGAAACAACAUCCAAAGGUAAUCCCAAAACAAAAUCUAUCCCACGAAUGAUUACAUCCUUCAACUCCUAACCUACAUGAAGCUUCAUAAUACGCACCAAGUUGCCAAAGGCUGGCUGAUUGACAAAUUACAUAUAAUAGGGAAUUCCAAUAUGCACGACAUCCAAACAGCUUAGAGGAAUUUAAAAUAUAUAACACACAAGUAAAAUCUUCCUAAAUGCUGCAUACUCAGAGAAGAAGUACUAGCGCAUCCAAAACUUAAAAGAGUAUAAAUAAUGUGUAAGUAUGUUCCAACAACAACAACAAGGCAUUUUCCCACUAAGUAGGGUAGGCUAUAUGAAUCCUAGAACGCCAUUGCGCUCGGUUCUGUGUCACAUCUUCUGUUAGAUCCAAGUACUCUUAAGUCUUUUCUUAUAGUCUGUUCCAAAGCCUUCCUAGGUCUUACUCUACCCCUUCGGCCUUAAACCUCUGUCCUGUAAUCGCAUCUAGUGUAAGUAUGUUCCAAGAAAGAUAUUUUUAGUUCCAUUAAUACUUCUCCUGAUCCUAAUAAAAAUUUUCAAAAAGAUAGAAUGAAAACUUUGGUUGGCUACACCUAUAUUGGUGGAAACCAUCCGAUGUCAUUGAUUUUUUGUAGAAUGAUAUCCUUUGGUCCAUAAAAGAUAUUUUAUGAGAUCCGUUUUGGCGAAUGGUAAAAGGGGAUAGCUUUUAAGAAGGGAAAUGUGAGUGUGUUGGGGUGGAUUUUCUCCCUUUUUAUGUUCCUUGUAAAAGAAUAUACUAUGCUUCACUAACAAAAUUAAAAAGUAAAAAAGAAAACUUAUAAACAAUCUGAUGCUUAUUCUUACUUUUCUUAGUUGCACUGCUUCUAAAAACAUCUCCACAUGUAAGAUUCUGAUACAGAAUGAACAAAACCUCGAAAGAAGCUAACUUAACAAAUAUAGUAAAUGUUGGAGGCAACCAACAGGAGAGUUCCAUACCUGUCACUAUGCACAAAUGUGGAGACUUUGUACAUGCACCGAUAAAGCGCACAACAUUACUAUGAUGGACCUCUCUGCAAUCAUAAAACAAAUAUAAUAUAUAUCAGUAUUGCUUAAUAGCAAUACGCAUGCCAACAUAACCUAUAAAAUGGAACAACAGUUUUCUUUUCCCUUGAAUAAGAGACAAUUUAUUAGUAAAGAAUAAGAUACAGAGAAGACACUAUGAAAAACUAGAAACAGCAAAAGGUGGAACCUAGCCAUGAAUUUUAACUGCCUAGAUGUGUGAAAUGCAGCAUGGGCUAGCUGCAUUUUACUUAACUAUCAGAAAAUUCAUUCACUUUAUGGGUUUCAAGAAUAGUUACAGCUAAUAUACCACAAAAUGAAAGACUAGCUGCAUUAAAUGUGAUUUUUUAAAUGACACAAUAAGACAUGUUUCUUGGUUCCAUUUGUAAUUACAUUUGGCAUAUUCUUCCAAAGCCUCGUCGAAAUAAAGACCAGCAACCUGGAUAUUCAACCAGCAAUCCUGGAUAUUCAACCAGCAAAUCCAGAAAACGUGAAGCAUUCUCUUGUCAUUCCCAGAGAUUAUAGGAAUUGUUCUUGUACAGGCUAGUAUAGAAGUUCAUUAUGGAGGAUGUUGGAAAAUAAUGGAAAAAUCUUUAAAAGUUUACAAGUGGAGAAGAGCUCUCAAUAGAAAUGAUAAGAGUGAUUUCAUAUGAACUCCCCAGCAGGGACCAGCCUAGAUUAAAAGAAGAUAAAGAUAGAAAAUUAUUCACCUUAAAAUUGCCACUUCUUGAGCAAACUCAUCCUCUAGAGCAUCAUUCAAAUGUUCAGAUCUCAAAAUCUUAACAGCAACAUCUUGACCAAGAUAAAUUCCACGAUACCUGAGAAUGAACAGUAAUAUAAAGUUAAGCAGCAGAGAAGACUAUAAACGAAUAAAGGAAUGCCAAAAAUAAAACAUAUCUUACAAAUCUCCACAUGACCCAGAUGCAAUUCUGUCUCCGAUCAUUAAUAAUCUUCGGUCUAUUUCCCAGAGUCCUGUCUUUUCUUUCACCGAUAAUUCUUUCUCCACAGCCGAAUGAGAAUGUGAAGAUCUUGACCAUGACCCCUAAAUUACCAAACAACAGAUACGUAUUACUAUCUUAUAAUUCUUCGAUUAUUUUAGCAUUGUGACGCAAUAUACCUCACUUCUAGCAAUUGCCUUUUCCAUAGCUUCAUACAGACCAUCUGUAUCCUGACCACAACAUUGCAAAGUCAGCAACAUUUGAACUCAGCACAGUUGUCAUAAAAUUAAUAUAAUCACAAUUCCCCUUAAUGUAUUCUGAAGACAUUUUCUUGGAGGAACUGUAGCUUUUUCGACUUGUCCAAUUUGAUAAAACCCAAUAUUUAUAACAAACAUAUUGGGAUGCAUUAGAUCCAAUAAUUGUAGCAAUGCCAUAUUACAGCCCAGAGAUAAACACUGACUAAAAAGCGUUCAUCCAUGCAUAAAAAGAGAAAGCACAUAAACAGCUUGCAGUAUAGCAAAAUCCAUAGCCAACAAAAAUAAGCAUAUUGUAGUAGCAAUGUACCACAUAUUUUAAGAAAGGCCAUCCAACGUUUCGUGUAUUGGAAAUUACUCAUUUAUAAUAUAAUAACAUGCAAAAUUUCAAGAUUCAAAACUCUGACAGUAGAAAGUAAUCUGUGAAUGACGAUAAACACAUUAUAUAGUAAAAGAAAACUACCUCAACAGGCCAUCCAUCUACCACAAAUACAUCUAAAGAGUAGCCAUCGCUCGUCGAGAAGACAUGUGCUUCACGGAUGUUAAGUUCCAAAUCCGAAAGCAAGGAAGAAAGCUACAGAAUGAUGACAUAAGUUAGAAAGAUGCGACCACAGUAUGGUUACACUUCUGCAGUUAUCUUGGAUUCUACAACAUAAACAAUGCAUAUAAUAUGUAUCAAAUGUACUGAAUAGUCCAUUGCUACCUUUAAAUUCAUUUUCCAAUUGAAUUUGAAGGCUAUAGAUUUUCAACUUUAUAUUAAUGAAAGAAAUCAUAAUGAAAAAGAACUCUUCCAAUACAACGUCUUCUCACAAUUAUAUUUAAUACCCAAGCUUACUGCAUUGAGGUGCCAGCGUGUGAGGUCUAGACACUAGAGUUGACACAAAACAUCAGAUGGAGAACCAUAAAACAUGAAUGACGGACCAUCACAGUGUCACAUGAAAACAAAGAUAGUUGCUUGAGUUAUAAACAUUAGGUAUUGAACACACAUUCAUAUUAGUGAGUACCAAGAGAACUGCUUAAGUGGAGACAGAGUAUUACAGGAUAAUGAAGCUAUCAAAUGAUGUCAAAUUUCAAUACCCUUUAACAUUGAAGAAAUUAUGUACAUGUGGACACUAAAACUACAGAAAUACUAUCACUUGAUGCUAUUCAAUCAGAUGAUCCUUUUGAUUAUUAAUUGAAAAAAGGAAUGCUGAAUCCAACUUCAUGAUCCAGAAUGUAAGUGCAAUAUCAGAUAAGUUUGUCCACUAUCCUAUCAUACUAAUCUUAUAUGACCCCUUUGAGAUAUAACUCGUUGAACAGUUGAACUUAGUUUACCAAAUAGACCUUCAGCUUUAAUUUGCAAACACGUAAGGGAACAAUCAGCAGAUUUUCGGGCUUCAAACUCUGAUUUCUUUUCAGAUUCUAAGAAUAUUUUGAAACUGAGAUCGAGGUAAACUCCAGGUGGUAAUACCAAACUUGACAACAAACGAAUAAAUUAAACCUUCUCAGUCAUACCUGGCUAAGAAGCUUAGGCUUGUCAAUAGUUGAAAAUAUUACUUCAUGAAUGGGAACAUGUGGUAUAUCUUGCCUGCGUUAUACAGCCCAAUGGUCAAUAUCAUUUCUGCAUAAUUAUACAUGUUUUUUCUUUAAAUGAGAAACAAAGUUUUACUAAAGAUACUCAAAAACACAGUACAAGACUCUGAACAAACUGGUCCACCAACAAAAUGAUUCAACUAAUGAAAAACAAAUCUGAAUUACACCUAUGACAAUGUAAUGGAACUUUCAAAAUUACCCUAUAAGAGCUUCCCAAUCUAAUAAGAUGUUAGAAAUUGGUAGAUCCCUAAAGGGUGGAGAAAAACAAGCUGAUAAGCAUAAAUGUGAUCUCUCAAAUAUACGGGCACAGUUCAUAUAAAAACUGCACAAUUAAAAUAUAAAGUAUAUGAAAAAGACCCGGAUAAAGGAGGAGGGGGAGGGCGUCAGGUAGUCGACAGCCGGCACUCCAUGAUCACGUCGAAUCCUUAUGAAAAUGAAUCCAGAACAAAAUCGCGCUAAAGCUAGGGCGUCACCCGUAAGUGGCGCGCUGUGUGGCCUGAGCACAGUGAUAAGUGAGCAAGGGUCGCUGUAUCUCCAUCGGCACCCGGAUGCAGUGUUAAAUGAGCAAGGGGGCCAUAGAAACUUCUUUUCGAACGACUCCACUCAAAGUUGUUUGGGAGCAUAUGCUCCUAUCAACUUUACCCGGGACACACAAAAGAAGUACUUUGAUCCUAUUAGACGGGGGAGGGUGAAGAAGCUAGGACAGAAGGGUAGAGUUCAAGAGAGCAAAAUGCGUUUAGGAACGUGGAAUAUAGGAACCUUAACGGGAAAAUCUAUGGAAGUAGUGGAAGUUAUGGUGAGGAGAAGGAUAAAUAUUAUGUGCCUACAAGAAACUAAGUGGGUUGGUAGUAAGGCAAAGGAUCUAGAAAACUCAGGGUUUAAACUUUGGUAUUCGGCACAAAUAGAACGAGAAACGGUGUUGGCAUCAUCGUGGACAAGACCUUGGUACAAGAUGUUGUAGAUGUCAAGAGGGUAGGAGAUAGAAUCAUGGCAAUCAAGAUUGUAAUAGGACAAGAACUUAUCAAUGUGAUUAGUGCGUACGCACCUCAAGUAGGGUUGGAUACGAGUUCGAAGGAGAAAUUUUGGGAAGAUCUUGGAGACUUGGUGCAAGGAAUUGCUCAGACGGAGAAGUUAUUUAUAGGAGGAGAUUUAAAUGGACACGUGGGCAGGGAGACAGGCAACUAUGGAGGUUUUCAUGGUGGCCAUGGUUUUGGGGAGAGAAACGAGGAUGGGGAAGCUAUCUUGGAUUUUGCAAUGGCAUAUGAUCUCUUCUUAGCCAACACCUUCUUUAAGAAGAGAGAAGAACAUGUGAUCACCUACAAGAGUGGGUCGUCAAAAACACAAAUAGAUUUUCUUCUAAUGAGGAAAGGGGAUCGUAUAACUUGUAAGGAUUGCAAAGUUAUACCAGGAGAGAGCGUGGCUAAUCAACAUCGCUUGUUGGUGAUGGAUGUACAUAUCAAAAGAGUAAGACAAAAGAACAAGACUUGGAAGUGCCCAAGGACUAGAUGGUGGAAUCUAAAAGAAGAAAAACAAGCCAUUUUCAAAGAGAAGGUAAUCACCCAAUGUGUGUGGGAUAGAGAGGGGGAAGCUAGCCAAAUGUGGGAUUCCAUGGCUAGUUGUAUCCGAAAAGUAGCAAAAGAGGUAUUAGGAGAGUCCAAGGGCUUUGCCCCACACCAAAAGGAAUCUUGGUGGUGGAAUGAGGAGGUACAAACAAAGGUGAAGGCUAAGAAGGAAUGUUGUAAAGCCUUAUACAAGGAGAGGACUGAUGAAAAUGGUGAAAGGUAUAGAAAAGCGAAGCAAGAGGCGAAGAAAGCUGUCAGAGAAGCUAAGUUAGCGGCUUACGACGAUAUGUAUAAACGACUAGAUACCAAAGAAGGAGAGUUGGAUAUCUAUAAACUAUCUAGAGCAAGGGAAAAAAGAAGACAAGGGACCUAAACCAAGUGAGGUGCAUCAAGGAUGAGGAUGGAAAGGUUCUUGCUACAGAGAACGCGGUUAAAGACAGAUGGAGAGGUUAUUUUCAUAAUCUUUUCAAUGAAGGACAUGAAAUGAGUGCUUCUUUAGGGGAGUUGAGUAACUCAGAAGAGUGUAGAAACUACUCUUUUUAUCGUCGAAUCCGGAAGGAAGAAGUGGUUGUAGCUUUGAAGAAGAUGAAGCAUAAAAAAGCAAUAGGCCCAGACGAUAUACCAAUCGAAGUGUGGAAACUUUUGGGAGAGACAGGUAUAACAUGGCUCACUGACCUUUUCAAUAGGAUUUUGAAAACGAAGAAGAUGCCAAAUGAGUGGCGAAUGAGCACUUUGGUGCCUAUCUACAAGAAUAAGGGCGACGUACAAAAUUGCAUGAACUAUAGGGGUAUUAAGCUAAUGAGUCAUACAAUGAAGCUCUGGGAGAGAGUCAUUGAGCAUAGAUUGAGGCAAGAGACACGGGUUUCGGACAACCAAUUCGGGUUCAUGCCAGGGCGCUCAACCAUGGAGGCAAUCUAUCUCUUACGAAGAUUGAUGGAAAUAUAUAGAGAUGGGAAAAAGGAUUUACACAUGGUCUUUAUAGAUUUGGAAAAAAGCGUAUGAUAGGGUCCCAAGAGACAUUCUUUGGAGGAUUUUAGAGAAGAAAGGAGUAGUACGAGUAGCAUAUAUCCAAGCUAUAAAGGAUAUGUAUGAAGGAGCAAAGACUGCCGUAAGAACUCAUGAAGGACAAACCGAAAGCUUUCCCAUAACUGUAGGAUUACAUCAAGGCUCAUCCUUAAGUCCUUACCUUUUUGCGUUGGUAAUGGAUGAGUUAACACGACAUAUUCAAGAUGAUAUUCCUUGGUGUAUGCUUUUCGCAGACGAUAUAGUGUUGAUAGAUGAAACUCAGGAAGGGGUAAAUGCAAAGCUUAACCUUUGGAGAGAAGUGUUGGAAUCUAAAGGUCUUCGCCUAAGCCGAUCAAAGACAGAAUAUAUGGAGUGCAAGUUCAGUGCAAAUGGAGGCCAAAACGAGUUAGGGGUGAGGAUCGGAGAUCAAGAAAUACCAAAGAGCGACCGUUUUCGUUACCUAGGAUCUAUCUUUGCAAAAGAACGGAGAAUUAGAUGGAGAUCUCAACCAUAGAAUACAAGCUGGAUGGAUGAAGUGGAAGAGUGCAUCCGGCGUGUUGUGUGACCGCCGUAUGCCACUGAAGCUCAAGGGAAAAUUUUAUAGGACGGCAAUAAGGCCGGCGAUGCUGUAUGGCACAGAAUGUUGGGCGGUGAAACAUCAACACGUACACAAAAUGGGUGUAGCGGAGAUGAGGAUGCUUCGUUGGAUGUGUGGGCACACGAGAAAGGAUAAGAUUAGGAAUGAGGAUAUCCGGGGUAAAGUAGGAGUAGCCGAAAUUGAAGGAAAGAUGAGAGAAAAUCGGUUACGGUGGUUUGGACAUGUGCAAAGAAGGCCUACUGACGCUCCGAUUAGAAGAUGCGACUAUGGGACAGAGGUUCAGGGCCGAAGGGGUAGAGGAAGACCUAGGAAAACUUUGGAAGAGACUCUAAGAAAAGACUUAGAGUACUUGGAUCUAACGAAGGAGGACAUGACACAGGAUCGAGCACAAUGGCGUUCUAAGAUUCAUAUAGCCGAUCCCACUCAGUGACUUGGAUUUUCCAAGUCUCCAACCGAGAAGUUUUCCUCACUCGGGAAAUUAAGGGAACACUACCCCAACCUACAUGCUCCACUCAGAAAGCUUCAACAUACAAGCUUCAACAAAAGAAAAUUCAAAGAACUUAGCGAAGAAGGCUUUGGUGUAUUUAACACAAUACGUUGAAAUGAAGGAAAGCUUAUUUAUUGAUAUCCCCGAUAAGCUACAAAUAUGUACAUAUACAUGAGUCAAAAUAAACACAAGAGGGAGCCUUCACAAAGGUUGCUUAGGAGAAGUCUCAGCAGUCGGUAGAGCCCCAGAAAGAGAAGGCACCGGAGGGGGAUCAUUUGGAGCCUCAGUACUGGACAGAACCCUAGAAGGAGGAGGCAUCAGAGGUUGAUCAUUUGGAGCUUCAUUACGCGGUACAGCCCCAGAAGACGAAGGCAAUAAAUGCCUUUGGAACAAACCCACAAAUCUCUGAUGAUCAAGUAAAACCUGACCAUCAGUUUCCUUCAUCUGGUCAAGCUUCCUCUUCAUGUUUGUAGCAUAGUCAUGUGCGAGCCGGUGCAACUGUUUAUUCUCAUGCUUGAGCCCUCUAAUCUCCUGUUUGAGACUCAUCACUUCAGCCGCCAAUGAUUCAACUUGGCGGGUUCGAGCAAAUAGGCGUUGGGCCAUAUUAGACACAGAACCUGCACACUGAACACUGAGAGCCAGCGAAUCCUUAACAGCUAACUCAUCAGACCGUUUGGAAAGUAGUCUGUUAUCUUUGGGAGUGAGAAGGUUCCUGGCCACCACCGCAGCGGUCAUAUCAUUCUUCAUCACGGAAUCCCCAACGGUAAGAGGACCAGUAGGGGAGACGAAGGAUGGGCGCCAUAUGUUGUCUGGAGAAGGCGGGGCUGCCUCUUCAACAAGGUUCAAGUCAAAACGACGGUCGGAGGGGCCAGACAUUUUCAAAGGUGUUGAAGAGAGAAGAGGUCGGACAAAUCAAGAUCUUAGAAGUGCAAGAAUGAAGCUUCUACUGGUGGAGAUUCAAGUGUGCUUUGGAACUUAAUGCCAGCCCCUAUAUAAAAAUCUGCACUCGACGAAGCUUUAGAAAUCGAAGAGGCGCCUGCUCAGAAAUCGAAGAGGCGUUUGCUUUCUCAAAAGCUGGGCUGCUUAGAGAUCACGAGGGUUGAUCUCAGAAAUCGAAGAGGUGUUUGCUUUCUCAAAAGUUAGGCUGCUCAAAGACCACGAAGGCCGAUCUCAAAAAUCGAAGAGGCGCUCGCUUUCUCAAAAGCUGGGCUCCCCAGAGACCACGGGGGCCGAUAUCAGAAAUCGAAGAGGCACCUACUUUUCCAGCCUUUUCCAGCCUUGUCAGCACCUGUCACACGCACACUCAGUUUUGCGGAAAUUAUGGGCAUUCUGUCAAAGACUUCUGGGGAAGUAGAAAACACAUGAAUCUUACUGUUCAAUCACCCACUUCCCACACGCAACAAUAGCUCAUGGGUACCACAGAUAACUUUGCCAAAGUUCUCUGCCAAAGUUGAGCACGUGAAGCUUGCAGCUCCUACUACAUCGCUCUGACCAAGAAGGGUAAAAGAAUAGCAAAGAAACAGCACUAACAAAGUUUAGACCCAUAAAUUUUGAAGGUCUAGCUACCAUAUUAUUACCCACAAGGGUAAAGGAACAGUACCACUGCUGGAUAAUUGGAAAGUCCCUGUGUGUCAACCUCUGUGCUUCGUGGCAAGGUAGACUAGCAAACAUGCCCAACCUUUACUCAC